GCAGCAUACCAAGGGCAAAUUAUACUCAAUUCUUCUUAAGAAAUUCAAUGGCAUAGGUGUUGAAGGCAGAGCACACGACUCGAAAGCCUUGGAAUCCAGAUCCCUUAGCCAAGGCCUCGAACUCCUUCUCCGUCCUCUCUUUUCCGCCGGGGUUGUGAGCUAACAUGAUCUCGUCGAUAUGGACAACUCCCUGGUGGCAAGGCUGCUGUCCGGAGCUACUGGAAGAAUGCACUCAGCAACAAUUACCUUCCCAUUGUCAGGGAGCGCAGCAUAGCAGUUCUUCAAAAAUUUCAAGCAAUGCUCGUCACUCCAGUCGUGGCAUAUCCACUGUAAGAUUGCAUACAGGAUUUGAUAUUAGUUCCAAUUAUAUUGAGCAACUAAGCUCCUAUGAGAAAUUAAUAUUAGCACUACAAAAUAAUCAUCGGCUCUUUUUUGAUAAAUAAUAACUCACCUUCAUGAAAAUUGCAUCUCCCUUUGGAACACUUACAAACAUGUCUCCUCCAACAUGCUCCACACCUAUAUUCAACAUCCACUGACCUCAUAUUCGUUAGGAAAAAUGAUAAAUAGUACAAAUAUUAUUUUUAUAUACAAUAACAUUAGGGGAAGAGAAAUUGAACUUGAGAGAUCGAAUGUAAAGGUGAACGCUUUUAAGUAAUUGAACUACAAACAUUAUCAGAAAUGAAGAACAUACCAGGAUAUUGAGGAGCAUCUUCGAUGACAUGAGGCAAGUCGAAAUUAAUGCCCUUAAUCGAAGGGUAUUUAGAGACGAUCAUGUUAAGGAUAGCGCCAGUGCCACCACCAACAUCAACGAUGCAUGUGAGGCCCUCAAAGCCAUUGUAGUUUCUUCAAGAAGUUUCUUCAUGAGAGAGAGAUCGAAUGUAGUUCUCAAGUAGUUCUCAAGAAGUUUCACAUGAGUGAGGUCGAUAAGAUAAACAGCUUGACUUUUAUAUACAUUCAACUAAGCUAACAUGUAGAAUUAGUAUGUAAAGACAUUGCACAAUUAGUAGAAAGAAACUGAAUGUUCUUGAUCACAAAGACAUGGUCGGCAAAAAAGUUAUGUUUCCAUAAGAAACAGAAGCAACAUGUAGUUCACACAAAUUUUUUCCAUUAUAGUUAGCUUUUGAAAAAACUGCUACACCGUUUUACAAAUUCAAUCGUUAAACAUGAUAUUGUAUUCCAAGACAAAGAUAAAGUAUAUGGUUUGUUUACAAAUCAAAGCUAGAAACCCCAAAGCUUUUUGCAUAUUCAUCAUCUCUCUGAUCAUGAAAAAUUAAAAUUAAUAAUAAUCACUCAAAUCAUAUUACAAUAUAUAACAAACUAUGUCAUCUGAUAAUCGAUAAAUUUUAAGAAAAUUUAAAAUGAAAACCAUAAUCUGAAAUGUCUGAAUUUUCUCAAACACUUUCUGAGAAGCCAAACCAAAACAAAAAACAAAAACAAAAACAAAAGGAGAUGAAUGAGAAAUGAGAAACGAGUAAUUACCAUGUCUGGAUUUGGAUGAGGCGGGAAGAGAAGGCCAUGAUCGGUUCACAGUCUUCCUCUUCUUCUUGUAAUUUAUGUUCCUCUUUCAAAUUUCAAAAACAAAAAAUCCACCCAUACUUAAUUCCCAUAAAAAAAAAAUUAAAAAAAAAUAAAAAAACUAGUAUAAAAAUUUCAUGGCACCUAUAAAAAUUCACCGUCACUAGUAUAAAAACCACCCAUACUCCAUUCCAUUUCUUCCCAAAACCCAGGGAUUCGGUGCCAGAACUGCAUCUUCUCAGUUGUUGCAUAUCUUCUUGCUAAUGUGUCAUUGACUUCGCACGCCUAGAAACCAAGCCAUCACAAUGCAAACGCGAGUAUCUCUGAUUAGCAUCGAAGGGGGUUGGCUUGGAAACUAAGAGCUGAGUAUCAUUCAAGGGAUUAUUCUGUAGCGUUGUGCCUACUCCGGAUGAUGCCAAAGUGGCCCCUUGAAGAGGUAAUGAAGGUAGUCAUCUAUCUAGCCUUUGGAAAGGUGCACUAUAUUGCAUGAACAUGAGGAAAUGCGAACAAAUAAGAAUUAUAAAAACUAAAGUGAAUCAAACCCAUGGAUCUUAUUGGGAUUACCUUCAUAAAAGCUAAGCAUUUUGGAAAAAACAUUUUCAAUUAAAAAUAACUUUGAAAAUGUCUUUCUAUUCAAGUAUGUUGGCCCAAAAUUGAAAGUGAUAGAUGCUUUCGAACAGUUUAGUUUGUAACCAUCAUUAACAUUACAAUUUUUUAGAAGUAAUGUAGACGAAUAUAUUUAGUUGCAUCAGGCUCCUUAGUUUCCAAUUGACAUGCCAAUUUAUGAUCCAUUGCUCUUUCUUUUUUAGACAAUAAAUCGAAAACAUUGAUAUAACCAAAUGCAUUCGAUAAUAGAAAACUACGUAAAUUUCCUAAGAGAGUUCUUGAACGGAAGAACUGACAAAGUAUUGAGUUGAUGAUGGCUUUUAUACCUACCCCAAUGAAUAGCUGCUGGAAGAAGUAUCUCAGGAAUAAGCAAUGCCUAUAAUGGAUUGCUCGAAAGCGCAUAUUCUUUGAAUUCCUCACCGCAAGGACAACAGCAAAGAGCACCGAUCUCUGCAUUUCCACCAAUAUAUACAAAAGAGUCAACAUUUGAGUUUAUAUUUUACUUAAAAUAUGAUUUUAGCCCUUCCAACUCAAUUUUCUUCAUAUAAAACCCUACAUAACUUUUUUACUCAAAGAAAACCCAAUGACUAGGAUCCACAUAAGCAAAUUCAUUAAUUUCAAUAUUACUUCACACAUUUUACAUUUUUCACAUGCCUAAAAUACCCCUAUUACAUAUUUGAUGUAGACAAUUAAUUGUAAGGAGAGAGUAAAUGAUUUUGCAACAAGAAAAACAAGACAUUAAUGUUAAAAAUUUAUUGCAUAUUAAUUUUUUUAGAAAGGCUUUGAAUUUUCAUAAACUAUUUGAUUAGUUUUUUUCACGCUACUCUUGAACACUUUUGAAUUUAUCCUUUUUUUAUUAAUAUAUUAGAACAUUGUAUUUCAUUAUCUACAUGCACAUUAAUUUACCUACAACAAUUAUACCAUGAGUGUAAUAUAAUAUCUCUUUUUUACAAUGAUGCAAAAUAAUGUUUAUACCAACAACAAAACGUGCCUAACAUAUGUACUAAUACAUGGAAAAUAAUUUACCUAUAUUAAGAAGAAAUGUAGUUCGAUGCGUAGUAUUAAAAAUACUAUGUUACACCCAUGUUUAUACAACAAUAAAACGUGCCUAACAUAUCUAACAAUACAUGGAAAAUAAUUUAUCUACAAGUUAGAUAAAUGUUAUUUGGUCGGGUGUAUAUAAAUUGUUUUAAUAAUUGGAAAAAUUAAAUAUAACUAGGUGUAGUGAAAUUUUUUUCUAUAAUUAGAACAAAUUAAUUUACCUACCUACUAUUUGAAAUGUUCAUUUCUAAUGAUGCAAAAUGUUCAUUACCUAACUACAAAAUAAUUUCCAAUAAUUUACCCACAACAAUUAUACCAUGGGUGUAAUGUAAUAUCUUUCUUUACAAUGAUACAAAAUAUUGUAUGUAUACCAACAACAAAAUGUGCCUAACAUAAGUACUUGUACAUGGAAAAUAAUUUACCUAUAACAAAAGAAAUGCAGUUUGAUGUAUAAAAUCAACAAUAAAUUUACCUACAAGUUAGAGGAAUGUUAUUUGAUUCAAAAUAUAUAAUAUAGGUGUAGUAUUUUUUUUUAAAUAAUUGGAACACACUAAUUUACCUACCAAUUAAUAUGGGUAAAAUUGCUACAAAAUAUAUCACGAAAAAAAAAACUACUUUUCUAGUUUGACAUGGAUACGGUUAAUGCAAACACUUUUUACAUUUUAUUUCACUUUUUCUACUACUUUUAUUUUGGCAUAAAUUUAGGAAUUUGGAAAACGGACCAUAAAGUAUGAGUGGCAUGAGUGUAAAUAAAUUGUAUUUAUAGGUCAAUAGUGUUCCCAUAUAUUUGCAAAUUUUAAAUUUUGGCUUAAACUGGAUCUUUAAAGAUAGAUGAGUUUUUAUCUAGAAAUAAUAAGUUGUAAGGGCCAAAAUCUAAAGCACCCUAUUUUUUUUUCAUAUUCUGUUUCUUCAUUUUCUUCUAUAUCACUUUCUAUACUCAUAUAUAUACUCAUAGUUUAGUUUAUAUUGGACAGGACCGAUCAUCAUAUGCUCAUAUAUAUGCGUUUGUUUAAUCAAUAAUGCUAUUUAAAGGUACAAAACUAAUCGCAUUUCUGAGACACUCGAAAAUAGCGGUGGACUCUACAAAUACACGCAAAACAUACAUGUGCUAAAGAAUCUAUAACAAUGCGAUUAAUUUUGGGAGUCUAUAUAGUAUUACUUGUUAUUUAUUUAUUGCCUAUCUGAUUAUGGCUUCUCAUGGCAGGUAGGAAUGCUUCUGUAAUUUGGUUGAUUUAAUUUCUUGAUCAUAAUACCAAUUUGAAUGAACAUCAUGGAUAAUAAUUUGACAGCUACGUCAUGAAAAUAAUAUGAAUGUCAUUUUAUCAUUUCCUUUUUGCCAUUUCUCUGAUUUAGGAGAGUUCUUGUGUUGUGUAUAAGCGAUAUGUCGAAAUCUAUUGACGGGUAAGUUCGAGUGAUAAGAAAAUCCAUGAGGUCCGAUUUUGUGUUUGUGGCAAUACAGACAUGUAAUUUGUCCGUUGUACACUAGAUUCUUUCAUUUUUUAGACCCUAUUGCAUGGGUAUGAUUCCAAAUUUAUAACAUACAAGCAUGUUAGAAUAGAAUUAAUUAAUCCAGAAUUUUAUUCAUAGUUGUCACAUGUAUUAUAGGAAUGUAAUAUUUAAUUGUAAUUAGUGUAGGAUCCUAUUUCAAUAGGGACUAAUGUAACCUUGUAUAUUUAUUGUAAUAUUUUUCACACAACAAUACAAAGAGUCAUAAUUCUACAUGUUAUCAAAGCAACAAAAUCACUUUCUUAUUAUUUUUUUGUAACAUAUGAAAACCUACUUAUCGUGUAACAUCCACGUAUGGAUACACGAUCACCAUAUAAAAAACCAAAGCAAUAUAAAUGCAGAUGGCAACAUACCAAAGGUAAAUUAUACUCAAUUCUUCUUAAGAAAUUCAAUGGCAUAGGUGUUGAAAGCAGAGCACACGACUCGAAAGCCUUGGAAUCCAGAUCCCUUAGCCAAGGCCUCGAACUCCUUCUCCGUCCUCUCUUUUCCGCCGGGGUUGUGAGCUAACAUGAUCGCGUCGAUAUGGACAACUCCCUUGGUGGCAAGGCUACUGUCCGGAGCUACCGGAAGAAUGCACUCAGCAACAAUUACCUUCCCAUUGUCUGGGAGCGCAGCAUAGCAGUUCUUCAAAAAUUUCAAGCAAUGCUCGUCACUCCAGUCGUGGCAUAUCCACUGUAAGAUUGCAUAAAGGAUUUGAUAUUAGUUCCAAAUAUAUUGAGCAACUAAGCUCCUAUGAGAAAUUAAUAUUAGCACUACAAAUAAUCAUCGGUUCUUUUUUGAUAAAUAAUAACUCACCUUCAUGAAAAUUGCAUCUCCCUUUGGAACACUUACAAACAUGUCUCCUCCAACAUGCUCCACACCUAUAUUCAACAUCCAUUGACCUCAUAUUCAUUAGGAAAAAUGAUAAAUAGUACAAAUAUUAUUCUUAUAUGCAAUAAUAUUAGGGGAAGAGAAAUUGAACUUGAGAGAUCGAAUGUAAAGGUGAGUGCUUUUAAGUAAUUGAACUACGAACAUUAUUAGAAAUGAAGAACAUACCAGGAUAUUGGGGAGCAUCUUCGAUGACAUGAGGCAAGUCGAAGUUAAUGCCCUUAAUCGAAGGGUAUUUAGAGACGAUCAUGUGAAGGACAGCGCCGGUGCCACCACCAACAUCAACGAUGGAUGUGAGGCCCUCAAAGCCAUUGUAGUUCUCAAGAAGUUUCUUCAUGGUAAUGGUAGAGUGGUCAGCCAUUCCCUUGUUGAAGACCUUGUUGAAUCUGGGGUCAGUGCCAUGGUACUCAAAAGCAGUCAUUCCGUAGGCCUUGUUGAAUGGGAUACCUCCUUCAAGGACUGCAUCUUUCAAGUUGUACCUGCACAAACCCGAAACAAGCAUGCAUGACUCAUUUGUGUUUAAAGCUUAAUCUACAAGGAAAGGGCCGGACCCUUGAAAUUUGAUUCAACAACUACAAAUAAGAAGGCCCCUUUAAAAAUUAUAAUAACUUUAAUCGUUGAAUCAAAUAUCAAUAGUCUGAAUAAGUGGACUUGAUAGACUUGAUGGAAGGGAUCCGGAGAGAAUCAUUUUCCAAUCUACAAUACCAAAGUACAAGCAAUCUUGUAAACUAGGCCAACCGACAUUCCACGUGUUUCAAGGCCCGCAUAACUCACAAUAAUCAGAUAAUUUAUGGGUUUGUUAAAACAACUCUCCCUUCUUUUAUUGAAUUCGGAUCCUCUUUGUAGGAAUAUUAAGAAUCUUAAAGAUUCGUAAAUCGUAUCAAUUCAUUGUACAUCGUACGAUCAUAAAACUAUUUGCAUUUUUUUAUUUAAAAUUAAACACAAACAACACUUGAUGAAAUCUGACCGUACGAUCACAGAUCUUCAGGAUUCUCACAAAGAAGAUUCAGAGAGAAUUUGUUGGUCUUUUAUUGACAUGGAUUGCGUCAAUCAGUUAGUAAAAUAGUAUCCUUUUAUAUUUGAGUACAAAUUAUCAUUUUUAUAGUUUUGAUAAAAAUGAGGGAGGAAGUUAAUUUAAAUUUCACCUCUAGCUAAUUGACGGAACUUACACUCCAUAUAGAAGAAUAAAAUAGUUAAAACAUACAGUUGUCCUAAGGAAAAAGAUUGAUAAGAAAUAAACGUGUAACAUCGAAACACUUUGGUGUGGUUGUUGAAGUGGUUUUACCAACUUUCCACUCCUAAUUUGAUUUAAGUGGAAAUCAUAAAACAGGUGACCAGUCAUCAUAUAGCGUAAUGCUAGAAAAAUAAAAUUUAAAAAUAAAAUUUACAAAUUAAUUGAUAUGAAAAUUAAUUGUUGAAUUAUUACUUAAAAGAUGAGACAUUAAUAAACAUGAUUUUUUUUUAUUAAUGACAUAUAAUUUAGUUUAAAAUUUUUAUUUAAAAUUUGGUUUCUUUAAAAGUCUGACAAGAAGUCAAUUUGGAGUCUUGUCCGUCCCCAACCGCCUAAUGGGCCAAAAGUAAUAUGAACAACGAAGAAAACAUUAGGAAAAAUAAAUUUUAACGAAAAAGUUUUGAUAUUUUUUAUUUUAAUAAAAAAAUUAUAAUUUUACAUUAAAAAAUCAUUUAUAAUACUAUUCAUUUUAUUUUUUAUUUUAUCUUAAAAUUUUCAAACCAAUUUUUAUUAGUUUUUCUUAGGAAAAAAUAGAGAACAAUCACAUAUUAAAGCCAUAACUCACAGUUCGUACGUAACAUUUUAUGAAUAUUGUAUUAUUAUCAACCUAUUUGAACCCCAUUAAUUAAUGUUUGUUAACGAUCAAAUUAAGAUGAUAAAUAAAGAAGAAGAAUGGUAAUUACCAGCUCUCCAUAAGGACCUUGUCCUGAUUCAUGAGGCAGAGAGAACCAAUGGAAGCACCAUCCUCGCUCUUUGUCAAGAACUUGCAGACGGGGCCGAGGCCGUACAGCCGCUCGACUUUGCCGUCGGGAAGUGUGCGGAGGGAGUAAGUGAGGAUAGAGUAGCUGGCCAGGACGCGCAGCAUGCGGUCCAGCAUGACGGAGGCGUCAGGGUUCUUGGUCGGCAGCUGCGAAGAUAAGUCAGCCGGAGAAACAAAAGCGCCAGGCCCGGCUUUUGCCAUGAUCUCGAGGAGGUCGAGCUCGAUGGCUGCCUUGAGCACCAUGGGGAGGACGGAGGCGCUGGCUAGCUGCAUGGCGAAGAGGUUGGCUUCUUCAUCGGAGACUUGGGUUGGAGUCAUCUGAGUCUCUGGGGUCGAACCCAUUUUUUGGAUUUGGUGUUGUUGAUGGUGUUGGUGUUGGUGGGGAGAGAGAGAGAGAGAGAGAGAGAGAGAGAGAGAGAGAGAGGAGGAGGAGGAGGAGGAUGAGGAGGACUGAGGGUGGAAGAGAUGGUGUGUGCUAAGUGGUAAUAUAUAUGUAUUUCCUUGCUCACCCACCGCCAUUGCUGUAAAAGCAAGGUGUCCACCACCCAUGCAGGACCCCACAUGCGUCCCACACGUCUUUACCUUUUAGAAAGCUAAUUAAAAUAAUUUCAAUUCUUUAUCUGCUUUUGUUUUAUUUCUUUUUUAGGAGGGUGUGUAGUCGGAAUUCACACUCAAUAUGAAGGAUUUGUACAAGCUUUGUUAGAUUAGUUGUUUAAUUAAGAGUAUAUAUUUAAUUUGUGUUUGAUUUUUCUCCCCUUAAUUUUGUUGUUUAAAAAGAAAUAUGAAUAAUUUACAAAUCCAAACUUUCCUAUUAAAAAGUGCAAUUUUUCUUCGAAUGUUAUACUCAAGGUCAAUGGGUUUUGAUUAAAGGGAAAGCCUGUCACAUCAUUCCACUAUAUAGUAUACAUCACCAGUUCGAGCAUAAGCAUGCCAAAAUAAAGAUGACAAAAAAGGUAAACCCUUCAAUCCAACGGGGAAAAAACUAAGCAAGUUUUUCUACAGAAAUACAGCAUGACAUGACAAGGGAUAAUUGGAGAAAAGAAUAGUGAAUUGUCCCUCCGAAGUCCUUCUAGCUGGUGAUAGAGCAUAAAUUUACAAUAAGGUCGUUAUUAUUUAUUUAUUUAUUUUUAAUAGUGUGUGAAAUGAUUUUAAUCUUCAAUUUUCUCUUUAGUUGAUUCGGCAAAUUUUAUAAGAUGAUAAUAAGGACAAUAAUGUUUUAUAGCAUUGAAUGUUGAGCGAUCAAGCAUUAAUAUAUUUCAUAUGAGUCUCCUCAUAGUAUUCUUGAUCAAGCAUCAUAUUUUCUUCAAGCUCGAAAGGUAACAUAUACUGAUUGAGAGACUUUUAGCCUAAAUGAUCCAUAAGAUUGGUAUAACUCCUCACUCUAGUUCCUGACAUUGAAAAUUGAUAUAAUUGGUCUUUGAGUUUGUCCCCUGUAAAUCAUUUUUUGUCAUUCUGUGAAAAAAUAUGUCAAUAUCAUCGUUAAAUGGAGGGGUUAGUUUGACAAAUAUCAUCAUUAAAAAGAUUGUUGUGUGGUCGUCCACAUGACAAUUUAACGAGGAUAGUGGCAAAUUUUUCACGGAAUAAAAUAAUUUACAAUGAACAAACUCAAAAACCAUUUCUAUUGAUUUUCAUUAUUAAGGAUCAAAUUGAGGAUUAUGCUAAUUGCCUAAAAGCCAUGAUUUAGAUGGUAUCAUUGUCAUGGUUUGUGUCAUCGUGACUCAUCCAUGAUGUAUGAAAGGGAUAGGUAUUUCUAUUGGAAAUUUACAAAUAAGAACAAAAAUAAAAAACAAGAGUGUGACAAUUUAAUAAGGAGUUGGCCCGGUAUCUUAUAAUAUGCUAUUACCUAAGCUGCGGUGCAAGAUCAAAUCAGUUGGUGAGUGGAACCUAUCAAUAUUCAUUUCCAAACGUUAUAAUACUUGACCUAAUUUAUAUAAAUAUGGUGGUGUUACUUAGAAGACAACAAUUAUGCCUUCUCCAUACUGAUUCAGGUAUUGUAUUAGGGGUGUGCUAUCCACACACCCCAAAUUACUUCCCACACACCUCUUGUUAAUUUCUGUCCGUUGAUCUUCUUCAAUUCAUCUGAUCCGACUGCUGAAAAUUAAAAGGGUGUGUGAGAAGUAAAAUGGGGUGUGUGGAUAUCACACCCCUUGUAUUAUUGAUUUCUCCAACUCCACUUAAGCUGAAAGGUGUAAAACGUUUAGUUCUCAUGCUUCAUUGGGACAUCAUUCGCACAUGAAUUGUGUGAGUAAGUUGAUUAUCGUCAUUCUUGUUUUGUGAGUUUUACAUGCAUGAACAGUCUGAAUUAGUUUAAAUCUAUAUUAUACGACGUUAAAUUAAAUAAUCUAUGAAAAUUCAGAAAAAGAAAACAGUUUAAACAUAGACAUCGAAUCUUACUUCAUAUUAAUGUUAAUAGUUGCUCAAAUUAAUUAAUUAACAAACUCCUGUGUUGAAAAUUGAAACAAAUGAAAACUCCAUUUGGUAUUAAUUAGGUUUACAAAUGGUAUUAUAUAAUUGGUCGCGGUUGGACAAAUCAAAGGGGAUCACAUCUCACCUAAUCUUUGAACAUGUAGAUGUCGGAUCAGACGCAGCUAUUGGUGAAAAAAUCAAAGUGCUACUUCCACAUCUUAAUUGGACCCCAUCUUUUUCUGGAACAAACUUAACAUUUCCAGAGACCCAGACCCUGAGAUGUAAAAAGAAAAAGUUCGACAAAAUUCAGAACCAGAAGAGGUCCAAACUCCUAAGGUGUCACCUCUUUAACAAAACAUCCUCACCAACCCUGCCAACAAAAUCCUCAUUUCAGGAUUUGUAAAUCAUGUAUAUUUAUCGUAUAUCGUACAAUCAAUUUUUGUUAAAUACUGUUUGUGUUCAAUUUUAAAUAAAAAAACUUAAAACAAUUAAUGAUCUCACGAUAUACGAUAAACGAAUAUAAUUUAUAGAUCUCCAAAAUUCUCACAAAAAGAAUCUGAAAAGAAUCCAAAUUCCCAACCCUGCAAAAGCAUUAAGAAUUAUAUAAAAAAAGAUUAUUAGCUUAACGUGUUUGAUUAUAAUAUUUGGUCAACAAUCAAAUGGAAUAAAGGAGGAUACGUUAAGAUAUAAGGGUAUUAUAUAUAUUAAUUGUAAUGUUCCACCAAAUACAUUAUAAUUGGUAUAAGAUAUAUAAGUAGGAGUCAACACUAGAAAUCGAAAACCGAAGCCAAAAUACGAAUUAAGCUGGACCGCAUUGAACAGUUAAGUUUUUGCAAUUUUGAUACGAUUUUGAUUUGCAACCCAACCACAUCACAAAUGAAAAAUGACUGAUUCCUAACAAUCAUACGUUUGUACGUUUCCUUUCUUUGCUGCUACUUUAUCUAAUCUCUUUUGUGGUGAAUUAUUUCAAAGGGUCAAAUCUUUGAUGCAUAUAGCUCUACAAUUGAUGAAAGUUAAUUGUAGGUGGAGAGCAACAAAUGAUGGGAUAAAUUUGUUUAACUUUAAGCACAAAAUAUAUCUACAAAAGUAUAAAUCGGAAUCAUGGUGAUCCGACGUAUGGUUGCGAGCUUCAAGCUCCCAAAAGUUGAUAUAAUAAAACAUUUUCUCAUGACUUGAUUGAUUUGUUGUUAUCUCUUGCAUGGUUACUUUUAGCUUUUUAUUUUGUUAUUUGUUUAUACGUUUUUUGUAUUAUUAUGCUCUCAUGUUUCUUUAAAUCUUAAUUUAUAUAAGUGCAAGUGAAUGUAAUGUAAUUCUUCUCCCUAGUGCUUUGAAACCGAAACCAUUUGAAACCAAAUCGAGUUCAAAUGGUUUGGUUCCAUUUCUUACAAACUUCAAAACCAAACUGAAUCGCAAAAAAAAUUGAUUUUAGUUUCACCCAAAACCGCACCGAACCAAACUGUGCACACCCAUAUAUAUAAAUUUUGUUCUCUUGAAAUGAACAAUGGAGAUUGUGUCAAAGGGUUUAAAAUUUAAGUAGUUAAUAGCAUUUGUUCUUGCAUACGAUAUUAUGCGCUGGAAUCCUUCGUCCACUAUUAUUGUUUGUAAAUUGGUGGCCAAAGUGUUGGAAUUUAUGGUUAGCUACAUGCACAGAUUACAACCUAAUACCAAGGAUGAAAGAGCACACAAAUCUGAUGAAGCCAUUAAUGAAUGAUCGAGGAAGAGUCUUCUACUAAAUGGGGACCUUAUGUUCUCACUAGAAUAGGGCUAGUUACUAAAAGAACGUGUUCCUCUUGAGCAGGGACUAAACCAUUUUUUAGACGUAUAACCACAACCGUUUCCACCUAUCACAUAAACUGCUUGGCAAAACUGCCCGCCCAUUUACACUCGGGAAAUUUGGAAAAGUAACCAUAUUUUAAACCUCAUAUAGAAUUAUAGCCACCAUUUUAAUUUUAUGAUAAUUCUAACCAAAACUUAAUGUAAAAGUACUAAUAUACCCUUAAUGAAAAUUUGGAAAAGUAACCAUAUUUUAGACCACAUAUAGAAUUAUAGCCAUCAUUUAGUUUUAUGAUAAUUCUAACCAAAACUUGAUGUUGAGAUCUUGAAACAUAAAAGAGAUAGCCUCCUCAAUACUACCCAAUACCCCUAUUCUCGAACCCUCCAUUUCCUACACUCUUUUAUAUAUAUAUGGAUAUUCAAAUGUAAUCAGAGAAAGUGAGAUUUGAAGAUAACCUAGUAAACAUAAAAAUUAAUUAGGAAUUGAAUCUCCGAAGCAAAAUUUGAAUCUAAAAAUAGAGGAGCAAAAAGCCUUUUAAGCUAAAAUCUGUGUGAGGUUUUUCUGCUAAACUGGUGAUUGAAAAUAUAAAAGCCGAUAAUGUGAUAAAUCCCGAAUAAUAUAAAAGCCAAUAAUGUGAUAAAUCCCGAAUAAUAUAAAGCCCAAUAAUGUAAUAAAUCCCAAAGAAAAACAUUCACAUCAUGUGUUGGAAUGGAGUCUAAUUGGAUUCUUGCAAGUUUGGCGAUUGUGGCCUGUCCCACCACAGCGACUGCACUUCUUCACUAUCCUUUCCUCUCCCUGAGAUGGGAUUCUGUUUGUCUUGCGUCUUCCAGAUACAACUUGUCUGAUUGGAGGUAACACAACUCUAUUAUGCACCUCUUCUGGCACACUCCAUUCACUCUUGUUUCCAACCGGCCAAAUGGGCUCCGCAUACGCUAGCACAAUUGCAUUGGCUGUGUAGAAUUUGGAGCACAUAGUGUACACUAAUGUGUUGCGAAUUCGACAUGCAGCAGUUGCAUGGACACAUGGAAGCUGGUCGAGAUCAAACCUUCUACACGUGCAUGACUUGGCAUUUAGAUCAACUAUAUGAUAUAAGUCUGCCUCAUGUACUUGCAAUGCAUAAUGAUUAAUGGAAGAUACCUGCAUAGUUGACAAGUAACAACCAACAACAAGAGACCAAUUAAUCAUAAUUAUCAUAUUCUUUUAUCAACCUGUUUAUUUGUUUGAAACAUUUUAACUAUGUUUUUUGUUAACAAAAUAUGCACUAACCACAUAGAUUUGGCCGUCAUCCAACUCACUUGACCAUGAAAUAUUACAUGCUUCAAGGCCACAACUGAUUAAAUAAAAAGUUAAGAAGAGUGAAAAUAGCUUUUUGUUGGUUCCUUUUUUUUUUUUCCCUUCAUAUGUUCUUGGUAUGGAUUCUAUGUAAAUUUAGGUGUCCAGUGUGCAUUAGGAAUGUGAGAGUGCAUAAAAAUGUAAACAAAUCAUACAUACCGACAUACGCAAGCCUCUAUUUUGAUUCUUGUGCACUUUUUCCUCUGCCCACUUUGUCAAGGUCGAAUUCCAUGAACUUGCUGUGUUCCGACGUUCGUUGAACCACUCUUGUAGUAUACCUCUAAGGUGAUCCGCUAGAGCAAUGAUAGGCAACUUUCGAGCAUCCUUCAGUUUUGCAUUCAUGGAUUCGGCAAUGUUGGUUGUCAUCAUGUUGUAUCGUUUUCCACUGAAAUGUGCCCGAGCCCAUCUAUGAUACCCAAUUUCUUGAAGAUAUUUUCCUACUUUUCCAUCUUUGAUUGCCCAAAUAUCAGUCAUAACACUAUUAAACUCUGACACAAGGUAUGCUUUUGCCGCAGUGUAAUAUAACUUAAACAUCGUUUCAUCAUCACCAAAUUUAGUCCUCAUGUUGCCAGCUACAUGAUACAUACAAGCUCCAUGAUAUGCCUCUGGAAACACAGUUUGUACAGCUUUACCAAUACUUCCAUGUCGAUCAGAUACAAACACCAAGUCUGCUACCUCUCCAAUGGCACUUCUCAAUUUUGUAAGAAACCAUGUCCAUGAAGCGUCAUUUUCUGAGUCACCCACACCAAAUGCUAAAGGAUAUAUUUGAUUUUGUCCAUCAUGGCAUACAGCAACAAAUAAGGUGCCAAGAUAUUUACCCUUUAGAAAAGUCCCAUCAACUGCUACCACAGGCCUCAUAGAACCACGAAAUCCCCUUAUAGAGGCUCCCAUUGCCAUGAAAAAGUAUAAAAAGUGAUUAUUGUCAUCCGUUUCUAUAUGUGUUAUUGUCCCAGGGUUUUUACUUUCUAACAUGGCACAAUAGGCAGGAAGUGCGGCAAAAGAUUCCUCUGGCGACCCUCGGAUCAUGUCAAAUGCGUGCUCUCUUGCUCUCCAAGCUUUCUCGUAGCUCAUAUUAACCCCAACUUGUGCUCGCAUAUCCUCAAUGAAGUCUUUAGGUCUAUAUACACGUGAUGCCCCCUCAUACUUUGACUUUAUAAAUUGGCCAACAACAGAACUACUUGCUUGCCGAUGAUCACGCUGAACAACAUCUAAUGAACAAGAAUGAUUAGUUUCAAAUUUUCUUACUUCAAAAAAUUCUGACACUUGUAACUUGGUUGCACGAAGUCGCCACUUGCAAUUAUCAUCCACACAUCUAAUUUCCAAACGAUCCUUAGUUGAUCUUUCCACUUUAAAUUCAUAAUUCUUCCUCAUUGCAAUCAUAGCUAAUUGUUUUUGCAACUCUUUCUUACUCGAGUACAAUUGUCCGACCAUAAUAUCUCCAUCUAUAUUCAAAUCUGCAAUAUUAUCAUAGUCUUGUAUGCUCUUACGCUUGUUACGACGAGACGACGAUAGAUUGAAAUUGACAUCGUUCGACUGCACAUUAUCGAAAUGGGUACUGUCAUGAUAGUCAUCAGUAAACUCAAAACUCACAUCUAUUGAAGCCUCACUAAUCUGGGCAUUGUCUUGAAGAACUUGACUUGGUUGUUCAUCACUCAAAAUGUCAUCAUUCUCUUGAAUUCCCACUGUUGGUGAUGGGGAACUGCAUGCAAUUGGGUGUUCAUCUUCAGGUUCAUUUAGAGGAUAUGUUGUAACAUAUAACGGAAUCUUGUUCGGUUUUGCAGAAAGACUUUCACAUACCCAACUAGUCACAUCGUCGUUGUCUACAAUCUCCAUCAUAGUUUGUAUCCCUAAGUUGCUAAUGCAUUGAUAAUGUACUGAGAUUCUAAAUUCACUUGGACUAACAUGAAGACGUUUAUAUAUACCUUGUAUAAGAUCUAGAUGAGUAACUUCGGUUGACACUACCAUUGCUUUCGCUUGACCAUCUGUGUAUUGGCUAUCAACCCUCCUCCAUCCGUAAUGGACCACGGUAACAAAUUGAGUCAUUUUCUGAAGGAAAAAAAAUUAAUUAGCGCAUCUAACUAACCUGCAAAUAUAUUAAAAUUAGGAAAAAGUUAUAGAAAAAAUUAAUUAGCACAUAUAACUAACCUGGGUUUUGGGUUUAGGGUUUCAGUGGUGAAAAAUGGACACCUCCUUGCAGCAAACCCCUAAACCUUAAAAUUCAACGCCAAGCAUAAGGUCCUGAUUUUCCAAUGCUUUACCAAAGCUUUACCGAUGCUUCCAUGGACACCUCUCUUCUUGUGAUUUUCUUCCUGUUUUUCUUUCGCUGUUUCUUUUUUUUUUGUCAAAAUUCAACGCCAAGCAAACCCCAAAUUGUUCUCUCGCUGUUCUUUUUUUUUUUUGUCAAAAUCUCUUCCUGUUUUUCAUUCUUAGUUGACUGAUGUUGAUUAGGUUUUGUUUUUGUUGUGAGAAACCCUAAUAUUAAGGGUAUAUUAGUACUUUUACAUCAAGUUUUGGUUAGAAUUAUCAUAAAAUUAAAACGGUGGCUAUAAUUCUAUAUGAGGUCUAAAAUAUGGUUACUUUUCCAAAUUUCCCUUUACACUCCGACAUGGGAUAUCCUUUCACCAACAUGUUUAACCUUAUUGUCCUACUUUAAAGGAAAGAAGACUUAUUCAAAUAUUAACUCUAACGGAUUCCAGUUUCAACUAAACUCAAAACCCUAAUGAGAUAAGUUUAGAGUCCAAUAGGGUUCCAACACAAAGAUACUAACAAAACAAAAUUACAAGGAUGUCCAUGCCCUUAACAUGUUUAUCGGAAAUGGAUAUGCAAGGUUAUAGUAUUGUUCUCUUUCGUGAUUUGGAUUGUGUUUACUUACAUAAAGAAUCAGGAAUAGAAUUUUGUACCAGAACAAUUAGGUAUCGUUCAAUCACAACUGCUACUAAUUCUAAUAAGUAAUAAACGAUGAAACAAACAAACAAAUCCGCUCACUAAUCCCUAUCUUGUAAACACUUAAACAUUGUGUUAAACAAUUGAUUUUCAAUGAAAUAAUCAUACAAUUUGUAACUCUUGAAUCAUAUCGAUCUUUCGGGUUCCACUUCGGUCCUACACAGUGUUAAAUCCUAUGAGUCUCAAACAGUCUGAACAUACCAGAUCACAAUAAAAAUAAUAGACCAAACCAAUUUAGACCAUUCAAUACUCAUACAUUUAAUGCUCCGCAACAUAAAUUUUUUUUCUUCUUGUUUUCUUUCCUUUUCAAGGCCCGAUUAAUAGCAAGCAUAUGACUUCAUUCCAUAGUAUAUGGAAUCCAUACAACCAGUAUCAGGCCCAAAUAAUUUGGAAUUUGGGCCUCGACCAGUUUGAACAUAAUAAUUCACAAUUUUGGGCUGGCCCAAGCUAUCUAACUGCUACAAACAGGAGGUUCUCUAAAAGUUAUAAUUCUUGUAGCCGUUAUAUCAAAUUUAAACGGUCCAGAUCUUUUGAUCUUUAGACUCAGUUUAUUUGGGUCCGGAGGAGAUCCAGUUCUGUUUAAAGAAUCGGAUCCCCUCUGUACCCAAAUAAAUUGAGCCUCCUAAGCAAAUGAUUUAAGCAGUUGAAAUUUGAUCAAACGGCUACAAAAAGGAUGCACUUUAAGAGUUAUAAUAAGUGUAACAUUUGAAUUAAAUUUUAACGAUGCAGAUCUCUAGAAGGGAUCCGGUUCCCUCGUCUAUAACAAAGUGGCGACAUGUCAAGAGCCAAAAACGCGACUGUUCAUCCGAAAUUCGGAUUCCGAAUCAUCAGACGAAGAGAGAUUAAAAAAAAAAAAAAAACUAAUGAAAAAUGUAUAAUACCAUGAUUGAUUUUUAAUGUAAAAAUGUGAUUUUUUGUUAAAAUGAACGAUACCGUCUUUUUCUUUAAAGUUUUCGUUAAAGUUCCUAACAAAAAUUCAAAAUCCUGGGUAACCAAAAGCGAGCCAGAGAGAAAAUGGAGGGCGAAACCGGAAUCGACGUCAAAGUGAUUAAUCAGCCGUCGUCGACGCCAUCGCGCUUGAAGAAGAAGAAGAGAGUGACAGCCCAGAAAUCGCCCCAGAAGGCUCCGCCCUCUUCUUCCGCGGAGGACGACGACGGGAGUCCAAUCAGGCAAAUUCUCUGUGUCAAAAACAAGGUCGAUGUUAAACACUUCGAGGACGUCGAGGACUGCUUCAUUUUGGAUUUCGACCCCUCGGAGCCGGUGCAGUUGUCCAAGUUGUCAGUGUCGGUUAAUGGUGGUGGUGGUCACGAUGGUUCUCCCGAUAUCGCUGUUGUUGCUGAGAAAGGACAGGUUUUGAUCUUUACCCAUGACCCAUUUAUUUCUUUGUGUUAAUUUUCUUUCUUUUGUUUGGUUUCCGGGAAAAUGCAGGUAAAGAACUGAAUUUGAAAUCAUUAACUCCAUUUUGUUUCUUUGUUCUUGUGUUUGGUUGCUGGGAAUAUGCAGGUGAAGAAAUGGAUUUUAAAUUAGAACCCCAUUGUGGCAUUUUGCCUUUGAACCUUCAGAUGUUUAACCUCAAAAGAUUUGAAAUUUAUAAGAAGUUUCCAACUUUUUGGCUUAUCUGUUCAUAUUCCAAUUUUUGUGAAUUUAUGAGCUAAUUUUGUGAAUAUCUGAUGCCUUGUGUUGGUUUGAAUUGAUGCUGUGUAGGUUGCUUGUAGAGACUAUCCACAUUCAAGGCACCUCUGCCUGAAAUUUCCUUUCGGGACGACACCCCAUGAGAGCUACUGUGAUCUGGUAAUGGAGUUUUACAACUUCAAAUCUUUGCGUCUUGUGACUGUAUCCCUGAUUCCCUAGUUCUGUUGUUUAACUUGGCAUCUGAAAAGUGAAUUCACUGACUGUAUGCAGUGCUACUGCUACGUUUGUGAUUCUGCCGCUCCAUGUGGGUUAUGGAAACCAUCGCAUUGCCAUGCCGCUGCGCACAUUGGUGAUUGGAAGUCCAAAAGGAUGUUGAGGAAGCAGCAAGCCGCGGUGAAGAAGUGAACAAAACUCUCGUUGUUUAGCCGAAUUGCAGUUAAUGGGAUGCGAGAAAUACCAAAAAACUGAACCGUUGUUCCGCUAUUAGGCCGAUUUGCAGUUAUGGGAUGCGAGAAAUACCAGGAGAGUGAACUGUUGUUUUGCUCGUAAGCAGUCAAGUUCAAGUAAUUUUGUUCAUAGGGAAGGUACUUGAAAUGGCGUUUGUUCUGACUCGAAAAAUUGUAGUUACUGAUGAACUUAUGAUGUUGGUAGAGAUGGAAUCAAAUUUGAUCAGUUCAAUUCGAGUUGUUUUCUUGUUAUGGUUUGCAGGUAUAAGUGGGUUUUAUUGCUGGUAACCGGAAUUGCAUAUGCCUCAUGACAUGGAAGAGCAUCUAUCAAGUUGCAAAUGUCUUUUGUUGCUUAUUCGGAGAAUUAAAAUCUUCAUGAACGUGAUGGUUCAUCAAGCCGCUAGUAUCUCAAGAUCCUUUCAAUGAUCUAUGUUGUGUUGAAGGGAUAUCUGUAUGCUCCGAUUGAUUGCGGAAAGUCCUGUGAGACCUUAAUCGGAUGUGUAGUCAUAGGUAGACCUGGCAUUUUGGACCCGACCCGUUAAUAUUAGUAUUUGGGUGAAUGUUUAGCGGGUGAAUCCGUUAAUAACCCGUUAAAUAACUGGUCACUUUGGAUCAACCCGUUAGACCCGUUAGCACCUGUUAGUUGAGAAUGUUUUAGUAAUUUCAAUCAAGUCUUAACAACAAAAAUAAACUUUAUGAAAAAAAAAGAUUUAAUUGUUAACGGGUGAAACGGGUGACCUGUUAGCUUAACUGGUAUGGUUCGGAUGACCCGUUAGCGUAACGAGUUGGGUUCAGAUGAUCCGUUAACUUAACAAGUCGGAUUGAACCCGAUCUAAACCCAAUAAACCCGACCUAUUUACAGGUCUAGUCAUAGGUGGGAGGUGGCGACGCACAACAACCAAUCAUGUCCCGUUGCUUGAAAGAAAAAAAACUCAAAAAAAUGGGUGAUCGAAGGUUAGCGUCUGGUUAAGUUCUAGUAGGGGCUUUGCUUAACCGGACACAUCAGUUGGUAACCAAAAUUUGGCGUGAUAAGUUAGUGUAUUUAGAAUUAUCUCUCUCUUAACAUGAUUGCAACAUAUAAACAUGUAACUUUGGCCGGUCGUCGUUGUAAGCAUGCUAAAUUUCUUGCAUCCGAGUUUGAAUUUCCUUAAUACAGCACACGUGAUUUAGUCAUUGGGCUUAUGUGUGCCAAGAUAUGAAUGUGGGCGAAUUGUACCAAAUACGGCGGGCCCAAUUGUAACAAGAACCCUUUGCCCUCGCGAAUCAUCAUCAAUCAUAUAUCAUCCAUCUCCGUCUCGCUUUCUCUAUACCCACUGCUGCUCCUGCCGAACGGCCAAGACUGUUCCCCUUUAUCCGUUUCAGAAUUCCAGAGCUCCGCCGAGGAACACAAAAGAUGUCACCGGCUCCACUUGUUCAGCAGGACGCCGCCGCCGCCGACGAGGUCUCCUCCGUCGAGCAGCUUCUCAAGAGCUCUAAUCCGGUAAAGCUCUUCCCUUUUCCCUUUUUUGUGGGGAUUAUAUAAUUUGUUUUCAUUUUCCGUUUUUGUUUAUUUACUAAGUUUUGAAUGUUGGACUGGUGUUAUUGGCAGAACAAGGAGGAAGACGAAGUGGUGGUCGAGGACGUGAAGGACGACAAUGACGAGGACGAGGACGAUGAGGACGAUGACGAGGACGACGAUGAUAAGGAAGACGGCGCUCAAGGUUGCUCUUUUUUCCUUCUUGUCUUUUCAAUUUUACGGCAUAUUCGUCAUUUGGUUUCUGCUGUUUAUUUGUUCUCUGUGCUUCCUGAAUGUUCCCUGUUGCCUGGAGUUUUGGAUUUGUUACGAAUAUUAGGAGCACGCAGAGGAUGAAAAGUUCAGAUUUUUAUAAAGGCUAUGGAAAUAUUGAGAGUUUAAAAGUUUUCUUGGCUGAUUUUGAUGUUAGUUUUUGAGAUGUUUUCGACCCAAAACGUAGAUGCAUGAUUUUUUGUUCAUUUGUGCUAAUGUUUCUAGGAUUCAUAUAGCCCACUUAGGCCCCGUUUGGGAUUGAGGUGAUUUAAAAAAAAGCCACUGUGAAAAAAAGCUGAGGGUCAUUUUUGUGUUUGGUAAACUGAAAAAAAAGGGCUUAUUUUGGAAGCUGCUGUGAGAAUAAGCUGAAAAUCAAAGGAAAAGCUGAAGCUGCUAUUUGCUGCUUUGAAAAAAAGCCAGUUUUUUCAAAGCACAUGGAGCUACAGUGCUCCUUUAAUGAAAAGACACACUAUCAUCCUGCUUUUUUUUCCAAAAGCACUUUCACAAAAAAGUUUACCAAACACUCUACUGGCUUUAUUUCACGGCCGCUUAUUCUCACAGCACAGCCGCUUAUUCUCACAGCAGUUUUUUUUCAAAGCACAGCAAUACCAAACCAGCCCUUAGUGGGAUAAGGCUUGGUUGUUGCCGUUGUUGUUGUUUUUGACACGAAGUGUAGUUCAGUUUGUUCUGAACUAUAAAGAUUCAAACUGUUUUCGUUCGUUUAUGCUACGGUUUCUUUGUGAGCCUGAUUUUUUUUGUGUUUGAUUACAAUGAGUUUGUGUUAUUUAUGUUGUCCUUAAAGUGAUCUUGAUUAGACGAUGAUGAACAGGUGGAAGUGGGGCUUCGAAGCAGAGUAGAAGUGAGAAGAAGAGUCGAAAGGCUAUGUUGAAGCUUGGGAUGAAGCCUGUUACCGGCGUUAGCAGGGUUACCAUCAAAAGGACCAAAAACGUAAGUUGAUGUUUGGUUUCCAGUUGGUGCAAUUGGGAUAUUGUUGUAUGAUGCUCGAUAUUCAUUGUUUGUUUGCUAUUUCUUGGUGUUUCAGAUACUAUUUUUCAUCUCGAAACCUGAUGUGUUCAAGAGUCCAAACUCUGACACCUAUGUCCUAUUUGGCGAGGCCAAGAUCGAGGAUUUGAGCUCCCAGCUUCAGACACAGGCUGCUCAGCAGUUCAGGAUGCCAGACAUGAGUUCUGUGACGGGGAAACCAGAGAUUUCGGCAGCAGCUGCUGGAGCUCAGGAUGAAGAGGAGGAAGAGGUUGAUGAAACCGGGGUGGAGCCUAGGGACAUUGAUUUGGUCAUGACACAGGCUGGGGUAUCGAGAAGCAAGGCCGUCAAGGCGCUCAAGACUCACAGCGGGGACAUUGUCAGCGCUAUCAUGGAGCUCACCACAUAAUUGGCCAAUGUCAACAGUUUUUGUCAAGCUCAUUGUUUACUUGAUGAGUGUUUUGAAUCAGUGUCGUGUCGGUCAUUGGUUUUUGUAGCUCAAUCGGACGCCCGUCUAUGUGUAUCUGGAUUGUGCUUCUCUAUUCUUGUGGAGACUCAAAACAUUGGCAGUGAUGGCUUUCAGGUUUUCUGAUGAACUUCACUCCUGAGUCAUGAGUUUUUAAAGUUUCUAAUUCAUCUUUUAAUUAGAGACGAGAUUUGACUACCUAGUACUAAUGAUACCAACAGGAUCCUCUCCGGAUUCUUUUGGUGGGGAUCCUGGAGAUUCGUAAAUCGUAUUUGUUCAUCGUACAUCGUACAAUCAGUUUUUGUUAGGUAUUAUUUGUAUUUAAUUUUAAAUAAAAAUAUUUAAAAUGAUUUCUAACCGCACAAUGUACGAUGAACGAAUAUGAUUCACGGAUUUUCAGGAUCCUCAUAAAAAGGAUCCGGAUUCCUAGUAAUAUUCUUAUUUGUUUGUAAGUGGGAGGAGGUAUUAGGUUUGACGACAAGCUUAAAACUUGUUGAUCAAAUCUCAUAUCUUAUUAAACAGUGUCUGUAGGAUAACAUGGUUUAUGUUGUCAUAUAGUAUUACUCUUAGGUGAUAUUCAUUUUUACUUGUAAAUGAAGAGUUUUAAGUUUGUUUGUCGUAAUAAACUUUUACCAAAAACAAGAAUCAAUAAACAAAAAACAAGUAAACACAACAUGGUGGUCCAAUGGUUUGGACGAAUUCCAGGACCAUAUAUCAAAUGGCAUGUUCUAAGUUCAAUCUUUGUUGUUGAUGAAUCAUAUGAUGGUGUUCAUGAGAGGAUAAAAUUCUCUGUGAGUCUUUCCAACCACCGACAAUAUAAACUGUUGUGAUGAAGCCACUAGCUGAUCCUAUUUUACGAGAAGAAUAAACCAAAACGAGUGGUGAACUGCAGAAUAAAAAAUGAGUGCAUUUUCCAUCGGAAAAAUAUUGCAAGAGAUUUAAUGAUUGGGCUUGGUGGUGCCGCCAAAAACUAGCGGGCCCACUCAGAAACCGAAACCCUUUGCCCUCGCGAGUCAUCGUCUCUCUAUACGCCGCUGCGUCUGCGUUACGAAUUUGCUAAGACAUCAUAUUUUUAUCCGUUUCAGAGCUUCUAGUCUCCGCCGACAAACCCGAAACAUGUCACCGGCUCCACUGGUUGAGCCCGAAGCCGUCGCCGCCGAAGAGGUUGUCUCCGGCGACCAGCUUCUCAAGAACUCUAAUCAGGUAAAGCUCCUCCCUUUGUUUAAAGUACCCAUUUUUUGUUUGGUCUAUAUAUGUUUCGAUUUCCGAGCUGCUACUGUUGUCAGACCAAGGAAGAAGAGGAAGUCGUGGUCGAGGACGUCAAGGACGACGACAAGGACGAGGACGAGGACGAUGAGGACGACGAUGAUGACGACGAUGAUGACAAGGAAGACGGCGGUCAAGGUUUGUCCUUUUUUUUUUUUGCUGUUCUUAUCCUUUCGAUUGCUUGGAGUUUUGGAUUUUCCAUGGAUGUCUUUGCGUUUUUUAAGGGCAUGUUUGAUUGGUAGGAGCAUAUAGAGGGUGAAAAUAUUAGACUUUUGCAAAAGCUAUGGAAAUAAUGAGAGCAUAACAGGUAGCUCGAGUGAUUUUGAUGUUAAUUUUGAAGUGUUUUCGGUAGAACCCAAAAGCCGAAUCGUAGUUCUGUUUGUUGUAAACUAUAAAGAUUCAAACUUUUUCAUUCAUUUAUACAGUAUUUUUUGCUGCUCAAUCCCAAUGAGUAUGUAUUAUAACAGGUGGAAAUGAGUCAUCGAAACAGAGCAGAAGCGAGAAGAAGAGUCGGAAGGCAAUGCUGAAGCUGGGUAUGAAGCCUGUUACUGGUGUUAGCAGGGUUACAAUCAAGAAGACCAAAAACGUAAGUUGCUGUCUGAUUUCCGGUUUGUGAAGUUGAGAUAUGGUUAUGGGACGGUCGAUGUUGAUUGGUUGUUCUUUUUUUGUGUGUUUCAGAUGCUGUUUGUUAUAUCGAAACCCGAUGCCUUCAAGAGUCCAAACUCCGAUACCUAUGUGAUAUUUGGCGAGGCCAAGAUUGAGGAUUUGAGCUCUCAGCUGCAGACACAAGCUGCCCAGCAGUUCAGGAUGCCGGACAUGAGUUCUGUGAUGGGGAAACCAGAGAUUUCUGGAGCAGCUGCCGGACCUCAGGCAGAUGAAGAAGAGGAAGAGGUUGAUGAAACCGGGGUGGAACCUAAGGACAUUGAUUUGGUCAUGACACAGGCCGGGGUGUCAAGGAGCAAAGCUGUCAAGGCUCUCAAGACUCACAGCGGGGACAUUGUCAGCGCCAUCAUGGAGCUCACCACUUAAUUUGUUAUCCUCGUGCUCGUUGUCAGUUGAUGAUGAGUUUUUUUGAGUCUGUCGGUCGUUAGCUAUUGUUGUCCAAACGGACGCUCGUCUAUGUGUGGAUUUAUGGUGCUUUUCUUUUCUUUUGUGGACUCAAAGACAUUGGUAGUGAGGUCUGCUGGUUUGCUGAUGCGCCUUCGCUCCUAUGUCAUGAGUUUUUAAGGUUUCUAUUUCGUCUUUUAAUUCUUCCACAUUAGAGUUGUCUCCUGCAAUUUGCUCGAUCUCGCUUUGCUUUGUCAAUGACAUAGAUCGAACCCUGGGGUUGUUUGGCAGUGAGUCUUAGUGCUCGUUUAGAUGUGCUUUUUAAAUGAUUGAAAACGUUUCUGAUGAAAAUGUUUUUAGAACAAAUCAUUUGUAAAAAUACAAGUAAAUUCUGAAAAUGCACUUAAAUGCUUCUUACAGAAAGCACUUUAAGUGCUUUUGAAAUCAAAAAUCACCAUCUCUAAAAGCGUUAUCAGUCAUUUUAAAAGCACUAUUUUGUGGAGGACGUGGAAUCGAUGCCCUAAAAGGAGCGACAUGUGCAAGAUUAAUUCACCCUAACAACAUGUGCGAAUGAACGUGUAAUGAAAUGCAUGCAUGCAUCCAUGCACCUGCCCACACACUGUCGAAGACUUGAUCGUAAUUACAUAAUUGUAGAACACAUACGUUCCGAAAUAUUCAAAUUAAGUUCACAAACUUUGUACAAAAAUAUCGCAUCCAGAGUCAUUUAGUUUGGAAAUAAGCAAAAGAGGAAAGAGGAAUCAUCCACCACCCAGGAAGGGAUGUUUUCUUUCCAGCAUCAGGUUCCUCACUUCUGCCCCCAAACCUCCUCCUUCAUGACAUGUUCCCAAUCCGAGGAAGAGCUAUCGUACCAACCUGCCGGAAGCAGAUUCCCAGGCCUGUUGAUCUUCUGAUUAUCUGUCGGUGGACCGCCCAAGAACAGAUGGAAUUCCUUAGCAGCCACCAUAUUAUCUUCACUACUGCCAGCUUCAUGACUCUGCAAAAUAGGUUGCUCCUUCAGUUCUGAACCUUCACCCUCCGAUGUCUUGCUAAUAAACGGCCAGGGGUUUCUCAUACCAGCAUACCCAAGCCCACCAGUUUCCGGCAGUUGCUGCCCUUCUGAAUGCAUGUAAGAGUUGUCAAUCCGGGAUUUAAGGAUCUGAAGCCUCGACAUAACAGAAUCCUCACAGUCGUUUCCCUCGUCGGUUGUGCUAGAAUGAGUAGAAUCCUGGAUGUUGAACUCGGGCAUUAAGCUAUAACUCGUGCUAGGUGCAACUGCAGAUAUCUUGGGGUCUGGAAGAUGUUGCCCUUCAGUAUGCAAGUCAGCGUAGUUUUCAAUCCGGGAUUUGAGGAUAUGAAGUCUGGACAGAACAGAAGCCUCGCAAUCGUUUGAUUGGCUGGUAGUGAUUGACAUGGAAGAAUCCUGGAAGUUGAACUCAGGUCCCAAGAAAUCACUUGCGUUGGGUGCAAUUACGUCAAUCUUGGGUUCAAGACACACAUCGGAGCUGGAUGAUUCCUCCAUAUUGGCAGAACUAAUGAAUUUCGAUUUCUCAACCCGGUCUCUUAUGAUAUGAAAUCUGGCCAUAACAGAAGCCUCGUCAUAAUCAUCUGUUAUCCCAACUGUAUCUGAUGCAGGAGAAUCCUGAAUGGAAAUACCAUGUGAUGAUGAGCUACCAUUUACUUCAGAUGGAAUAUUAUCACCCUUGUUUGGUUCAGAAACCUUGGAGCUGGAUUCGCCCCCAUUGGCAGCACCAAUCAAAUUUGAGUUCUCAAUACGGUCCCUUAAGAUACGAAAUCUGGCCAAUACAUCAUCUUCCUGGCUUAAUACAGGUAAAUCCUGGAGACUUGAAAUUGGACAAUCAUGAGCAUCAGGCGUCAAUGGGUUAACUGGGUUUGAAUCAGGGGAAACCUCAGACAUUGAUUGCUUCAUCAUAUCUGCAUUAUAUUCAAAGCCGUCAGAAACACAAUCAUAAAAUAAAGAUAAGAUCAAAGUUUCUUGUUUAUAGGUUAUAAAACUAUGGCAGUAAUGUAAGAGCAUUAACCUUUGGAUUUCUCUGCCUUGCACUUAUCCAUUUCUAUCUUUGUACGAUUAAAACGAGCUUUGUAAUUAAUGGAACAUAAUACAGCUUCAGCCUCGAGCCAUAGGUCCUUGUACAAGAGGGCUUGAGGGUCUGUUUCUUCAGCAUGAAAAUUCUCACUAAGAAUCUUCUUUAUAGCCUACAAAACCAAGGUCCAUGGCAAUAACUAACUAAUUUUUUGUACUUCCUCAUCCCUCAACGGCAAGAAAUAUAACUUGACAUUUUACUUUAUCAAGCUAGGUAUAGGGGUACCUGAGUCAUUUUAUCUUCUUUCGCCAUGUUUUUGUCACUUUUCACAGAAACAGAACCUACAACUUUAUCCUGAAUUUUAGAGGCAGAUGCCAAUGGAGCCCUGUCUGCAUUCACAACCUGAAGAAAUUAUUCAGCCAAGCAAAACAUUAUUAUAGAGUAUGAGGUGGUAAACUCUCCGCUAUUCAUUUGAAAAUGAAGUCCAAAAUAAGAUUCCAAAAACUUAAGCAGCAUACCUUGUUAUGCUCUGUAAACUCUCCGUUACACUGAGAAGUGUUUUGCAGGAACAAUGGCAUUUCCUGUGUCGGUGACAAUUUCUCACCAUCCUUUGAUAUGCAGAUAUGCAGGUUAUUGAUCACAGCUUUUAUGGUCUCAAUAUCAUUUUUCUUCAAUUGAACCAAGCCAUAUGAACAAUUACUAAGCAGCAAUUCUGACAAGUUAUUCAUUGUAUCAACCAGCAUCUGUGCACCCACUUUUGGCAUAGAAUCUUCCCCAUCAGAUUUGGAAAGCUUAGUAGGUGCAUCCUCCACAGACGAACACAAUAUAUUUUCUACAGCAUGAGAAGGCACAUGCACCGAACCAUAUUCCAUAGUGUCACUGACAUUCAGUUUAAAAUCUGGACCACAAGUCAAUGUUGUUUUCUUUAUUUCCGUUGCUAAUCCGUCUUCUCCACCACAACCUUGUUCCAUUGUAUGAGAAUGGCCAAAGAGACCAAAGGAAUUUUCCCCACUCCCUGAUUUAUGGAGGACAUUUCUGUAACUUUGAGGUCCUCUACCAUGGCUUGUUUCUGAGUUAUAAGUGGUCUUCGCGGUAUCAUCUAACUUAUGUUCUCCAAAAGCUGAGUUUUCAACUGAAUAUCUCUUCAAAGGAAGGGUCACACCCUUUUCCAGCCACCCAAGAUCAUGGUAUUCAACGGUGUUCUUGAUAGGCUUUUGGGAGGAAACAUCUUCCGCAGCCUUUAGUGGAAACAUCAGUGGCAUUGGAAAAUGCAAACCAUUGUAGUCCUCUAGUUUCUUUAACUGUUCUGGAACCCCUUCUUCAGAGGAUUCAAAUGGAGAAAACCGACUACCAGGAACUCCUUUCCAGCAAGGCGAGUCCACAGCUGGAUUAUUAGGAUCUACAUUGUCAGAUGAACUCGGAAAACAAUUGACGGUUUCAUUUGUAUUAACUGACACAUUAAAACCACCAGGACUAACAUGAGGAUUUUCAAGUCCAGACUUCGCUUUAAACACAUGAUCCCAUGGACUCUUGUUGAGACUUCUAUUAUUUAACAGCUCUUCAUUUCUUUUUGCAAAGAAGCUAUCAUUUAUUCCAAGAAGACUGUCAAAUUGGCUUGAACUGAAACGACAGUUGCCUUCAGAAACUUGUAGCAGACGAGACUCUUGUACACUAGAGGGAUAAUAAUCAUCACGAUCUGUCUCAGCAGCAUCACUUCUGAAAUUCAACCUUUUGAACAGACCUAUCUCUGGUUCUGAAGAUUUAGUGCCAAUAGCUGGUAUUCUAGUGGCAAAGGCAGAAGAAGACUUUGAAGUGGACGAAAUAUCAUCCAUACUAGCAUCAUGCUGUUGUUGCUCAGAGAACACACUGUACGGUGUUUUACAGUUUGUGGUGUUCGUGAUAAAUUGUGAGGAUGAUGCCUUAGGAUGGGUUUCUGGAACUGCUGAAAAGGAUCCCGUGACAGAUUUUGAAAAGUCAGCAGGGAUGAAUUUGGAAUUUUUCGCCACAAAGGAUUUAUCACCUAAGUGCUCUGCACUUACAGAUCCACCAAGCUUUUCCCAACCCUGAAUAUUGAUGCCAUGUGAUGCUUCUUCACAUGAGGGGUCUGCACAUUAUACAGAUAGUUAGGGGAAAAUAGAGUAGGGUUGCAUAACAAACAGGAAGUGAACCAAAAAAAUGAAAACAAAAGUAGUUGCACUGGAAAAAUUCCAUAGGCGCAUAACUUGGGGAAGACAUACCUUGGUUCAUGUAAUUCUUGUAAAGUGAUGAGCCGGAAACAUCAGUCUUCUUUGAGCAGAAAUUUCCAUUAAAGUCUCCCUGUUUACCCUGCUCCCGCUCCCACUCCCACAAGCCACCCCACUGGGUAGUAUACUUUGGAUCAGAAGGGUUUUGAGUGUAAUCCUUGUGAGAGGAGCUAUCCAAGGGAGCAAAAUGAGUACUAGACAGCCAAUCAUAACUAGGCUGACGAGGAACCACCAUGGGGGAACACUCGGAACUGUUGAGGUUAGAUAAGAGGGAUAAUAAGGUUUGGCCUCAACAAAACUAGUUGCAGCAGCAUCGAAGGAUUGAUCGUACUUAAACGUACUGGGUGAAGUGGUGGUAAUAGUGUUCAAAGGAGGCAAGUUUGUAUUGGAUGGUUCAACAGUCUGCAGGCCUGCAUAUCCAUACGCAUUCGAUGGAGGAAUUGAAUUGAGAUCUGGGGUGGGAUUGGCAAAGAAAUUAGAAGGGGUAGUGGUCGGGUGAGAAGGAAGCCAAUUGUGCAAAGAAGAAUUCAUGGGGGCAACAUAAGGUGGCUCAGUCACAUCAAGUGAGCUUGACAUGGGUUUUGGCACAGGCCGAUCGACAGUAAAAGGUGGCGCUAAAGCCGAUAAACUUGAAGGCGAUGAUGAUGAAUAUGGAUAAGAUCCUCCAAUUCCAUAAGGAACAAAUCCCGCCAUUCUUAGACUUUGGUUCUACACACAAAUUAAAGUAAAUUGAUCAAGACCCGCUAAAAUUAACAUCAACUAAGAAAUACUGAAAUAAAAAGGUCAACCAGAGCUAAAAUUUCCUAAAACAUGAACACUCACGACAAAAAUCAAAACUUUAUGAAGAACCCAUUUGUCAAACACCAUAAAGAUUAUCAAAUAACAACGAAAUUAUUAUGAUCUUUGAGAAUCGUGCGAAAAAAAUGAAAGAAUUGGUGAUGCUGCUUACAAUAUGAUGACGAUCAGAGCAUCCGUUUUCAGCAAUCGCCCAAUUAACUGGGUAAAACAAGGAGGAAAUAAAAGCACAAAAGCUGUAAAAUUUACAAAACAGUAGUAUUCCCUUGAAUAUGUAUAUAUAUAGUUCUCUUGCUUAACUAUAUCCUACAGCUACAUCAAUAAGAAAACCCAGAUUACAGAAUAUGGCAAGAACAGCAAAAUCAUAAACCAAUCUGGAAAUUAUUCAAGAAAUCUGAGAUUUUGAAUCAAUUGGGGAGAAAUUCAUACCAGAGGAGUGACGAGUGAGGGAGGAGAGAGAGACAGAGAGAGAGGCAGAGAUUGGUGGCA
rnacentral:lncRNA from 1 species